rnacentral:rRNA from 1 species
UACGUAGGGUGCAAGCGUUAAUCGGAAUUACUGGGCGUAAAGGGCGCGUAGGCGGCGCGGUAAGUCACUUGUGAAAUCUCUGAGCUUAACUCAGAACGGCCAAGUGAUACUGCAGUGCUAGAGUGCAGAAAGGGCAAUCGGAAUUCUUGGUGUAGCGGUGAAAUGCGUAGAUAUCAAGAGGAACACCUGAGGCGAAGGCGGGUUGCUAGGCUGACACUGACGCUGAGUGCGCGAAAGCCAGGGGAGCAAACGGG